GACGAACGCUGGCGGCGUGCUUAACACAUGCAAGUCGAACGGAAAGGCCCCUUUGGGGGUACUCGAGUGGCGAACGGGUGAGUAACACGUGAGUAACCUUCCCUUGACUUCGGGAUAACUUCAGGAAACUGGGGCUAAUACCGGAUAGGAAUCCUUGCUGCAUGGUGGGGGUUGGAAAGCUUCGGCGGUUUUGGAUGGACUCGCGGCUUAUCAGCUUGUUGGUGGGGUAGUGGCUUACCAAGGCUUUGACGGGUAGCCGGCCUGAGAGGGCGACCGGCCACAUUGGGACUGAGGUACGGCCCAGACUCCUACGGGAGGCAGCAGUGGGGAAUAUUGCACAAUGGGCGGAAGCCUGAUGCAGCAACGCCGCGUGCGGGAUGACGGCCUUCGGGUUGUAAACCGCUUUCAGCAGGGGCGAAGCUUGUGGUGACGGUACCUGCAGAAGAAGCACCGGCUAACUACGUG
rnacentral:rRNA from 1 species